UGACGCUUUACAAGCCCACCAAACCUAAGAUCCGUACGGGCCUUGAGAGAGGAAGCCCGGAGAAGGUCACUGAGAAACUGGACCUAGCCCUACGGGGUGCAGCAGGCGCGUAACCUCUACAAUGCACGCAAGUGUGAUAGGGGGAUCCCAAGUGCUCAUGUUUUCAUGGGCUUUUGCCAAGAGUAAAAAUCUUGGCGAAUAAGGGGUGGGUAAGACUGGUGCCAGCCGCCGCGGUAACACCAGCGCCCCAAGUGGCAACCGCGAUUAUUGGGCCUAAAGCGUUCGUAGCCGGCUGAGUGAAUCUUUUGUGAAAUUGUCAAGCUUAACUUGAUAGCGCGCAGGAGAGACUGCUCAGCUAGGGACCGGGAGGAGUUAGAAGUAUUCCGGGGGGAGCGGUAAAAUGUUAUAAUCCUCGGAAGACUACCUGUGGCGAAAGCGUCUAACCAGAACGGAUCCGACGGUCAGGAACGUAAGCCAGGGGAGCAAAACGGAUUAGAUACCCGAGUAGUCCUGGCUGUAAACUCUGUGAGCAAGGUGUUGCAUAUUCUACAUGAAUGUGCAGUACCGAAACGAAGGUGUUAAGCUCACCGCCUGGGAAGUACGGUCGCAAGACUGAAACUUAAAGGAAUUGGCGGGGGAGCACUACAAGGGGUGCGGCGUGCGGUUUAAUCUAAUUCCACACAGAGAAUCUCACCAGGAGCGACGGCAGAAUGAAAGUCAUGCUGAAGACAUUACUUGACGAGCCGAGAGGUAGUGCAUGGCCGCCGUCAGCUCGUGCCGUAAGGUGUCCUGUUAAGUCAGGCAACGAGCAAGACCUGUAUCCACAAUUGCUAUCGGAUCCUCUAGGAUGACUGGGCACUUUGUGGGGACUGCCUCGGAAACGAGGAGGAAGGUGCAGGCAACGGUAGGUCUGUAUGCUCCGAAUCUCCUGGGCUACACGCGCGCAACAAUGGUAGGGACAAUGGGAUACGACUCCGAAAGGAGAAGUUAAUCCUCGAAACCCUAUCCAAGUCCGGAUUGAGGAUUGUAACUCAUCCUCAUGACGAUGGAAUCCCUAGUAAU
rnacentral:rRNA from 1 species